rnacentral:rRNA from 1 species
AGUGAACGCUGGCGGUAGGCCUAACACAUGCAAGUCGAACGGCAGCACAGUAAGCGCUUGCUCUUACGGGUGGCGAGUGGCGGACGGGUGAGGCAUACAUCGGAAUCUACUUUUUCGUGGGGGAUAACGUAGGGAAACUUACGCUAAUACCGCAUACGACCUACGGGUGAAAGCAGGGGAUCUUCGGACCUUGCGCGAUUGAAUUAGCCGAUGUCGGAUUAGCUAGUUGGCGGGGUAAAGGCCCACCAAGGCGACGAUCCGUAGCUGGUCUGAGAGGAUGAUAAGCCACACUGGAACUGAGACACGGUCCAGACUCCUACGGGAGGCAGCAGUGGGGAAUAUUGGACAAUGGGCGCAAGCCUGAUCCAGCCAUGCCGCGUGGGUGAAGAAGGCCUUCGGGUUGUAAAGCCCUUUUGUUGGGAAAGAAAAGCAGCAGGUUAAUACCCCGCUGUUCUGACGGUACCCAAAGAAUAAGCACCGGCUAACUUCGUG